AAAAAACAAAAACUCCAGCUAAUCAUCAUCACAGAGGCUGCAGUCGUUUAGAUCGUUGCCGCGGCUAGCGAAUCAGAUGAGCCCCCCAGUGCAAGAUCGAAAAAGGCUUCUCCUCCAAGCUUUGAUAUGUUCUACAUUCCAAACGCCUUUUACACAGAACGAGUAGCAAAUCCCCGAUCAACCAUCUUCUCCACCAAUUCUUCGUGUUUCCUUAGUUGUCCUGCCUUCCUUAAUUGUUUUAGAACCAUGUCAUAAACCGACUCACUUGGUCUCAAGCACUUUUCCUCGAUCAUUUCUCUAAAAUAUUUAUAAGCAUUAUUCCAAUGUCCCAUCCCACAGUACAUGGAAAUCAGAAUCUUGAA
rnacentral:misc_RNA from 1 species